GGGGUCCCAAGAUCCCCUUCAAUGGCACAUCUCAAUGACCUAACUUCCUCCCUUUGGGUCCCGUGCCUUAAAGUCCUAUCGAUAAUACCGUGAGACAAGAAACAAACCUUUAACACGUGGGCCUUGGGGAAAAUUGGCCCAAACUCUGACCUGUCUAGCUUGAAUAAGUGAUUUCAAUUACUUUAAGACCCACACUUUACUAAAAGUCAGUAAGCUACUUUCCAACACUGCUUUGUUUUCCUGCCAGCCUUGGGCCCCAGAAGCCUGUACUCACCCUGACAAGUCCCUACAGCAUGCCCAGGACAGAUAUGGUAUGUAAGACUUGCUAGGUACAGUCCUUGUUAGGGACAGCCAAGCGUGGGUUUAGAAACAAAGGCAAGUUGAACCAUAUAGUUCGUCACACAGAGUCGCAAAGCUCUGACAACUGAAUGACUCAUUUGAAAGGUGAAAUAAACCGCUUACCCAGGACGGUCUUUCUGCAGGUCCUGGAGCCAUGUGAUUCCAGCAUCCCAUCACCCUGUCACCAGGGCAUUCAGCUGGGUGCUCUGGCAGCUGCUUAUCAGGUAAACUUGGGGAAGCUGUGAAAGCGCACAUGGCGAAUGACGCUGCAAGGUCCUCAUGCCUCAUCCAUGAACAUGCCCCAGCUGUAGGCUGCAUCUGCCUGGCCGUAGAGAUGAGGGUAUGAUGGCUAACCAUCUUCAUCAACUCAGCUAGUUUAGAGUCAGCCGGAAGACAUAAAGCACAUCUCCGAAUGUGUCUGGAAAGGCCUUUCAGUGCUGUGGGACAAUCCCCUUGUACACUGUAAAGGUUUGUCAUUCAAAUUGGUUUAAUAAAAUGCUGAUUGGCCAGUAGCCAGGCAGGAAGUAUAGGCAGGGCACCCAACACUAUGGAUGACGGGAAGGAGAAGGGUGGAGCCAGACAGUCACAGGCAAAUGCAGAGAAGCAAGAUGAGAAUGCUGUACUGAGAAAAUGUACCAAGUACAUGACUAAACAUAGAUAUAAAUUAUGGGUUAAUUUAAGUGUAAGAGUUAGCUAGUUGAGCUAUAAGCCGAGCAUUUACAAUUAAUACAAACCUCUGUGUGACACUUUGGAAGCAGCUUCCAGACUAGGAAAGCUCUGUCUUCAUAUGGCACCCAAUGUGGAAUGCCAGAUGAAGCACAAAUCUAAUUAAUCUUACCAAUAAAAGCCAGAAGUCAAAAAUCAGAAUAAAACCUAAAAGAACAGAGAAGCCAAGGAGCAGCCAUAGUCCCUUCCUACUUCUUGGCAAGCCAGUCAGGAUUAUUAAGUGAGGGAGAAAGACUCACUCUAAAUGUGGAUGGACCAUCCCAUGGGCUAAGGUUCCAGAUAUAAUAAAGUGGGGAAAGAAAAAGCCAGCUAUAAACAGUAUCUUCUUUCCUUGGUUUGGUUGGCCAUGAAGCAAACAGCUUUGUGCACGCCGGGCUCCUGUCACCAUGGACUCUCUGCCCAACACACAGGACCAAGUGACAAUGAACCCGGCCCUCUCAAACCAACCGUAAGCAAAGCCAGUCUUUCCCUCUCAGCUGGUCUGUUCAUGUCCUGGCCACACAAACAAAAGCACAACACGGCUGGGAUUUCUUUUUGUCUCUGUAACGUUUUUACCAGAUUACACAGGGUCAGUCCUGUGUAUCAAAUGCGUGGAGAGAAUAUUGGUAGAGAGAAUAUUCUGGAUUGGCAAGAGAACUUCAUUUUUUUAGAAACUUCCUCAAACAUACAAGUUCCGGAUUCCAAGUGUUUAUAGGUGGGCAGUUGGCAAACGGUUCAUCACGACUCGAGCCCAGCUGCGUUUCCUUAUUACUCACCACCAACCGGUGCUGGUCAGCGUUUCCUACAGCCACAGCCCAUUUCAAAGAGCACAGGUCUGUUCAUCAGUUAGGAAAACAACACCACAGCAACAGAUCAGCUCCGUGUCUCAUCCGCUCAAUACAGUCAAAGUUUAUUCUGGCUCCUGGUAUGGCUUCCUGCAGGAAUGAAAAUGGAACCACACACCAGAAGCCACCUCACUGGGGGCAGGAUCGUAAGGUCGUCUGGCUGUCUGAAGCGACUUGUGAGGGUGAAGUCUCUGCAGAAUAAGGGAUCUGACAUCAGAGAUCUUGGGUUCCAGUCCUGGUUUGUCUGUCACUAGUUGUUUUAACUGAUACGGAGACACAUCACUUCUCUGGGUUUCUGUGUCCACCUCUAUACAAAUGUAUGUUGUUCAUACUGAUGGUCUUCUAGGGGGAAAUGCUUGGGAAUGCUUUGAAAGAUAGAAGGCACACGAUAAAUAUCGUGGAAUAUUCAUUUUCCUGCAGAAGCUUCUCUAGCUGAGCCAACGUCUCCCAUCUGCUCAGUGAGUACAAAGAGGUUGACCUUGGAGUUUCCUCCAAGUUCCUGUGGGAGGGGAUCCUAACUACACAGCACCACCCUCUCAGUCCUCAGAGGCCCUUGUGUCCUGAGCUGGCCAGCCCCAGUCUCUGGAAGGCUUUGUAGCUCAUGUGCCUACCAGAUGACAGUGGACGGACGGACCCUGUGAUGCUCCCAGAAAGCCUUUCUCCACAAACACCACACACUGUCUAGACCCUGCCCCCAUGGAAGGCCCAGUUUCCAAAAUGGGGCACCCUCAUUUGCCCUUACCCCACCCACCCUCCUUCCCAGCUCUGCAAUUUGUCUACGUUGUAUAUUUUGUCUAUCAGUCCUAGACCAUGUCCUCUGCUGCCCCUCAAAAUUUCUCUGAGCUGGACACGGCGGUAGAAGCAUCCAGAAAAAAAAAAAAGGAACAUCUUGAUUUCAGCAGAGCCGUGAACAGCACAUCUUCCACUGUCUGUGUAUUAACGCCAGCCUGGAUAUCAGACAUUGGCAGAGCCUGGUCGGCUGCUUUAGCACAGACUGCAAUCGGAGGUGUGGUUCUUUGGCAUUUAAUCUCCCUCCAUCCAUCCAAAUGGACUUGGCACAGGGCACAGGCCCAGGAGGACUGCAGGAGAC